rnacentral:rRNA from 1 species
AAGCAUCUAAGCACGAAACUUGCCCCGAGAUGAGUUCUCCCUGACUCCUUGAGAGUCCUGAAGGAACGUUGAAGACGACGACGUUGAUAGGCCGGGUGUGUAAGCGCAGCGAUGCGUUGAGCUAACCGGUACUAAUGAACCGUGAGGCUUAACCUU